rnacentral:lncRNA from 1 species
AACACUUUGCUUGUGAUUUCGUCAGUACCUGCAGAAGAUGACAUCUUAAUAUUUUCAAUGAUACAGGUGAUGCCAUGCGCAGAAAAUCUCAGUUGUUCAGCUGG